UACGUAGGGUGCGAGCGUUAAUCGGAAUUACUGGGCGUAAAGCGUGCGCAGGCGGUUUUGUAAGUCAGAUGUGAAAUCCCCGGGCUCAACCUGGGAACUGCGUUUGAAACUACAAGGCUAGAGUGUAGCAGAGGGGGGUAGAAUUCCACGUGUAGCAGUGAAAUGCGUAGAGAUGUGGAGGAAUACCAAUGGCGAAGGCAGCCCCCUGGGUUAACACUGACGCUCAUGCACGAAAGCGUGGGGAG
rnacentral:rRNA from 1 species